GCCAGUCACAAUGCUUUCCAAUAGGAAACUGUCAAGGAGGCAGAUCGGGGAAGAGCCAGCUCAAGCCAAACAUAGCCCUGGCCAAUCAGCAACUCCUCAUAGAGGUUAAUUGAAUCAAUGCAUCUCUAUGAGGAAAGUUCAGUGUCUCCAUGCAGCGGGCAAAGUGCUAUUGGUGAACCAGCCUUUUCUAUUCUGGUUCUUUCAUUUUGAAGCCACGCCCCCAAAAAUUCUAAUUCGUCCGUUUUGGUGGGCAUUGGCGUCAUGACGUCGGCACAUACACACCAUGGUGACGUCAUUUGC